rnacentral:rRNA from 1 species
AGUCGAGCGGAGACGACACUAACAAUCCUUCGGGUGCGUUAAUGGGCGUCGAGCGGCGGACGGGUGAGUAAUGCCUAGGAAAUUGCCUUGAUGUGGGGGAUAACCAUUGGAAACGAUGGCUAAUACCGCAUAAUGCCUACGGGCCAAAGAGGGGGACCUUCGGGCCUCUCGCGUCAAGAUAUGCCUAGGUGGGAUUAGCUAGUUGGUGAGGUAAUGGCUCACCAAGGCGACGAUCCCUAGCUGGUCUGAGAGGAUGAUCAGCCACACUGGAACUGAGACACGGUCCAGACUCCUACGGGAGGCAGCAGUGGGGAAUAUUGCACAAUGGGCGAAAGCCUGAUGCAGCCAUGCCGCGUGUAUGAAGAAGGCCUUCGGGUUGUAAAGUACUUUCAGUUGUGAGGAAGGGGGUAGCGUUAAUAGCGCUAUCUCUUGACGUUAGCAACAGAAGAAGCACCGGCUAACUCCGUGCCAGCAGCCGCGGUAAUACGGAGGGUGCGAGCGUUAAUCGGAAUUACUGGGCGUAAAGCGCAUGCAGGUGGUUCAUUAAGUCAGAUGUGAAAGCCCGGGGCUCAACCUCGGAACUGCAUUUGAAACUGGUGAACUAGAGUACUGUAGAGGGGGUAGAAUUUCAGGUGUAGCGGUGAAAUGCGUAGAGAUCUGAAGGAAUACCAGUGGCGAAGCGGCCCCUGGACAGAUACUGACACUCAGAUGCGAAAGCGUGGGGAGCAAACAGGAU